GGUGGCUCAGUGGUAGAGCGCUUGCCUUGCACGCAUUAGGCCCUAGGUUCGAUUCCUCAGCACCA
rnacentral:tRNA from 1 species